UAGGGAAUAUUGGGCAAUGGAGGGAACUCUGACCCAGCCAUGCCGCGUGCAGGAUGAAGGCGUUAUGCGUUGUAAACUGCUUUUAUAUAGGAAGAAAUAGUCCUUGCGAGGAAAGUUGACGGUACUAUAUGAAUAAGCACCGGCUAACUCCGUGCCAGCAGCCGCGGUAAUACGGAGGGUGCAAGCGUUGUCCGGAUUUAUUGGGUUUACAGGGUGCGUAGGCGGUUUAUUAAGUCAGUGGUGAAAGACGGUCGCUCAACGAUUGCAGUGCCAUUGAUACUGGUAAACUUGAGUAUGAUUGAGGUAGCUGGAAUGGAUAGUGUAGCGGUGAAAUGCAUAGAUAUUAUCCAGAACACCAAUUGCGUAGGCAAGUUACUAAGUCAUAACUGACGCUGAGGCACGAAAGUGUGGGUAUCAAACAGGAUUAGAUACCCACGUAGUCCCUGAGCGGGCUGGCAAGGCGCAU
rnacentral:rRNA from 1 species